rnacentral:rRNA from 1 species
GACGAACGCUGGCGGCGUGCCUAAUACAUGCAAGUCGAGCGCAGGAAACUGACGGAACUCUUCGGAGGGAAGGCAGCGGAAUGAGCGGCGGACGGGUGAGUAACACGUAAGGAACCUGCCUCAAGGAUUGGGAUAACUCCGAGAAAUCGGAGCUAAUACCGGAUAGUUCAUCGGACCGCAUGGUCCGUUGAUGAAAGGCGCUUCGGCGUCACCUUGAGAUGGCCUUGCGGUGCAUUAGCUGGUUGGUGGGGUAACGGCCCACCAAGGCGACGAUGAAUAGCCGACCUGGGGGGGUGAUCGGCCACACUGGGACCGAGACACGGCCCAGACUCCUACGGGAGGCAGCAGUAGGGAAUCUUCCACAGUGGACGAAAGUCUGAUGGAGCAACGCCGCGUGAGUGAUGGAGGUUUUCGGAUCGUAAAACUCUGUUGUAAGGGAAGAACACGUACGAGAGGAAAUGCUCGUACCUUGACGGUACCUUACGAGAAAGCCACGGCUAACUACGUGCCAGCCGCCGCGGUAAGAC